GCGUGAAUAGCUUAGUCGGUAGAGCAUAAGAUUGUAGAUCUCGGGGUUGUGGGUUCGAGCCCCACGUCGGGCA